CCUACGGUGGGCUGCAGUGGGGGAUAUUGCACAAUGGGGGGAACCCUGAUGCAGCGACGCCGCGUGGGUGAAGAAGCGCCUCGGCGCGUAAAGCCCUGUCAGCAGGGAAGAAAAUGACGGUACCUGAAGAAGAAGCCCCGGCUAACUACGUGCCAGCAGCCGCGGUAAUACGGAGGGGGAAAGCGUUAUCCGGAUUUAAUGGGGGGAAAGGGGGGGCAGACGGCGAUGCAAGCCAGGGGUGAAAGCCCGGGGCCCAACCCCGGGACUGCUCUUGGAACUGCGUGGCUGGAGUGCAGGAGGGGCAGGCAGAAUUCCUGGUGUAGCGGUGAAAUGCGUAGAUAUCAGGAGGAACACCGGUGGCGAAGGCGGCCUGCUGGACUGCGACUGACGUUGAGGCCCGAAAGCGUGGGGAGCAAACAGGAUUAGAUACCCUUGUAGUC
rnacentral:rRNA from 1 species